rnacentral:rRNA from 1 species
AGCUCCAAUAGCGUAUAUUAAAGUUGUUGCGGUUAAAAAGCUCGUAGUUGGAUUUCUGUUGAGGGACGUCGGUCCGCACUAUGUGCGUGUAUCUGACUGUGCCUCGGCAUCCUCUCGAAAACCGGUCUGCGCUUUAUUGCGUGGGUUGGUGUCGGGACUUUUACUUUGAGGAAAUUAGAGUGUUCACGGCAGGCAAGCGCCUUGAAUAUAUUAGCAUGGAAUAAUGAUAUAGGAUCUUGGUCCUAUUUUGUUGGUUUCUAGGGCUAAGAUAAUGAUUAAUAGGGACAAUUGGGGGCAUUCGUAUUAACGCGUCAGAGGUGGAAUUCUUGGAUUGCGUUACGACGAACUACUGCGAAAGCAUUUGCCAAGGAUGUUUUCA